GCGAAAGUGGCGGAAUUGGUAGACGCACUGGAUUUAGGUUCCAGCGCCGCGAGGCGUGAGAGUUCGAGUCUCUCCUUUCGCACCA
rnacentral:tRNA from 18 species